ACUUAAAUUGAAGAGUUUGAUCAUGGCUCAGAUUGAACGCUGGCGGCAGGCCUAACACAUGCAAGUCGAGCGGUAGCACAGAGAGCUUGCUCUCGGGUGACGAGCGGCGGACGGGUGAGUAAUGUCUGGGAAACUGCCUGAUGGAGGGGGAUAACUACUGGAAACGGUAGCUAAUACCGCAUAACGUCGCAAGACCAAAGUGGGGGACCUUCGGGCCUCAUGCCAUCAGAUGUGCCCAGAUGGGAUUAGCUAGUAGGUGGGGUAACGGCUCACCUAGGCGACGAUCCCUAGCUGGUCUGAGAGGAUGACCAGCCACACUGGAACUGAGACACGGUCCAGACUCCUACGGGAGGCAGCAGUGGGGAAUAUUGCACAAUGGGCGCAAGCCUGAUGCAGCCAUGCCGCGUGUGUGAAGAAGGCCUUCGGGUUGUAAAGCACUUUCAGCGGGGAGGAAGGCGGUGAGGUUAAUAA
rnacentral:rRNA from 1 species